GAUAUAAGAUAGGUAGCCAACCUCUUCGAGAGAGCGAUGUUGAUGUGUAUGAAUUUAGGUGAAUUGGGAUGCAGCUUCAUGAACAGUUGGGAUCAAUUUGCUACUAUAUUGAUAGACAGGGGACAAAGCUAUAAUUGUUUGAAAGGAAGAUUAUGGACUUAGAGUAUAGAUCCUCCACUGCCACUACGCCCACCAUGCUCCUAGCCACAGCCCGCCGCCUCCACCCUUUCUCCACCGCUGCCGACGACGCGACAAUCGAUUCCCUCGAAGAGCACUGUUCAACCCAUAAAGCUUUACUCUUUUUUUUUGCUGACAGCAUGUAAUAAAAUCAAUGCCAUUCCUGUCCUCCUCAUCUCGUUACCUUUUCUCACCAAUCCCACGCAAACCCCUCGAUUUUUCGUUCAUAAAACUCGAUUUUUUCACCACAUCUUCACCGUCACCCGAAAAUUUCUUGGCCAAAUUGCUGGAAAAUACGUCCAACAUAGAAAGGGUUCUCGAAUCUGUGAAAGCUAAGCUGGAUGCUUCAUGCAUCAGUGAAGUGUUAACAAGGUUUCAUCACUUCUAGAUUAUGGCUGACCCUGCAAAGAUUUUGAUUUCUAAGCGCUGCUUUUGAUGUAUAAAGAUUCACAGUCAUGCCUCGAAAGGAACAACCUAAAGUGCUUGUGCACAAGAUAGUGUUAUAUACAGGUUGAAAGCUCAAGCUUGAGCUUCUAUCUGUGAACUUUGUUGUGUACUUUUAGAGUUGGUUAGCAUAUGAAGAAGCAACUGUCUAUCAUAAAGCUCGUGUUAUUCGGGUUCUAGAUGCAUCAAAACAGGGUCUGACUCUUAGACAAUUCCUUCUAGUGGAUCAUCUUAAUCUGUAGCACAAUUUCUGAUAAUAAGAAUCAUUAGAAGAAGCAAUAGCAGAGCAUACUCGUGUAACCGUUCGACUAGUUGAUUAACAUACCUUAUUCAAAACUAAUAUUAGAAUUCAUGAAAUAACGCGGUGUUUGGCUUGGUAUGUUCAUGAACAAGCACAUGCAUAUACAACAUAUCUAAUCUUCUGCCUAGAGUAAGCAGGAGUAAUGAUGUUCGCUGUGAGCGUGGUAACAUGUGGUAUUGUCACAUCAACAUUGAGAGCAUAAUGUGGCAACAUCAUAUGUUGGCAUACUCACAAUAAGCAUUAUAAUUUUUAUCCAUUGCGAGUAGGAGAUCAAACUCAGUAUAUAUAAUUCAAUGGCAUCUUGUAUAGUUCUAUACAUUUUUAUUGGUAUAUAUUGACACGAUAUCACCAUUAUGAAAUUUUGUCACUUAAUAUGUUGCAUUUAGUGUCCCCGAGGCACGUGUUACCAUUCUUUGAGUUGAACAAAAGCCUUAAUAACCUUCAUCUUGGCUCGAUUCAUUGUUUCUAAUUCAAGAUAUAAGCUAUUUAAAAAAAAUCGUAAUUUUUGUUUUUUAAUAGAUUAUGGAUGGUUCUUUAUGAAAAGGGUGAAACUGAAGCAGACGAAUAUUUGUUGUGUAUUGUAGAAGUCGACAAAGCAUAAACGGAUAAGAAUUUUCAGAUGGUGAGAAUAAAUAAAGGAAGAAAAAGAAAAUAUCUUGAUGAAUAUUCGGUAUUAUAUUUUUUAAAAAUCUUUAUAGUAAAAAUGGAAAAAGAAAACCCAUAUUUUCUCUGGCUGAGAAUAAUUGCCAAUUCCCUUUUAUUUAUUCGUUUGUUGGAUCAAAACGAAUCCUAUCCAAAGGAAUAAAUGGGGAAUAAGAAAAGAAAAAC